CAUGCCGCGUGUGUGAAGAAGGCUUUCGGGUUGUAAAGCACUUUCAGUGAGGAGGAAAACCUUUGGGUUAAUAACCCCGAGGCUUGACGUUACUCACAGAAGAAGCACCGGCUAACUCCGUGCCAGCACCCGCGGUGACUGAGCGGGCUGGCAAGGCGCAUA
rnacentral:rRNA from 1 species